ensembl:lncRNA
AUGUUCUUCCUGUCCCGUGUGGCUGCUGAGAGUCAUCUAAAUCUUAUGACAUCUGGGAACUUGUCAAUAGUUUUUGGACCCAACAUCUUUCACGUUCCUCUCGGCCCCACCAUGGUUGAGGAACAGGGGCAGUGUAACGCUUUGACACAACACCUGCUGGACAACCUGAUUCACCUUCUGCCAAACAUGUACCCUCAUGAACCCACUAGCAUCACAGCAGAAAGGGACUGGGCUAAUGACGAGUGUGUCCAACAGUUGCCACUCUCAAAAAUAAGCAACAACACAGAGAGUGGAGAGGCCUCUACAAGAGUAGAGACUCAGAGAACAGAAGACACUAUGGCUUGUGAGGCUCACCACAAAACACUGGGGCCAGUGAGGUUCACUGCCAGGCAGUGGGGUCAGUGA